rnacentral:rRNA from 1 species
CCCUGGCGUUUCGGGUCACGUACAUCCGAGGGUCG